UACGUAGGUGGCAAGCGUUGUCCGGAAUUAUUGGGCGUAAAGCGCGCGCAGGCGGUCUUUUAAGUCUGAUGUGAAAGAUCGGGGCUCAACCCCGAGAGGUCAUUGGAAACUGGGAGACUUGAGUACAGAAGAGGAGAGUGGAAUUCCACGUGUAGCGGUGAAAUGCGUAGAUAUGUGGAGGAACACCAGUGGCGAAGGCGACUCUCUGGUCUGUAACUGACGCUGAGGCGCGAAAGCGUGGGGAGCAAGCAGG
rnacentral:rRNA from 1 species